rnacentral:rRNA from 1 species
UACGAAGGGGGCUAGCGUUGUUCGGAAUCACUGGGCGUAAAGGGCGCGUAGGCGGCCAAUCAAGUCGGGGGUGAAAGCCUGUGGCUUAACCACAGAAUUGCCUUCGAUGCUGCUUGGCUUGAGACCGGAAGAGGUUAGUGGAACUGCGAGUGUAGAGGUGAAAUUCGUAGAUAUUCGCAAGAACACCAGUGGCGAAGGCGGCUGACUGGUCCGGUUCUGACGCUGAGGCGCGAAAGCGUGGGGAGCAAACAGG